UAUGCACAAAAGGGUAUAAAGGUCUCUUUCAUGUGGAUUCCAUCGCAUAGGGGCAUAACAGGAAAUGAGACAGUAGAUAAAAUUGCACGUGAUGGAACCAACAUGUUGGAUGUUAGCUCCAUAGUAAAAGUACCUUUGACCGACUGCUAUCAAUCUAUUGACAACCAGGUCAAUAGUUUAUGGGUCGAAUUUUGGAAACAAGACCAAGAACAGAAGGGUAAAUGGUAUGGAAAUAUUCAAGCAAACUUACCUGUGGCACCAUGCUAUAACAAAUUGAAAAUGGCCAAUCGGGACUUUAUUACGACUAUAAACAGACUGCGUUUUGGUCACUCCACCGUCCCGGCCCACCUGGCUCGGUUGGGCAUAGUGGAGAGUAGCUACUGCACCUUCUGCAAUAAUUCUGUUGGUGAUAUCGAACAUUUCAUAUUUAAAUGUGAGUGCUUUUCGUUUGACAGAUUGAUUCUUGUCAGUGAAAUUAGUGAAAUAGUGCAAAAUCAAUUGACAGUGCAAGAUCCCUCCCGCCGCCUGAGUGAUAUGUUGAAAAAUAGAUCCUAUUACGUGCCUCUAUAUAAAUUCAUCAAAAAUACAGUUGGGAAAUUAUAAUAUACCUAAUAAAAAUACCCAAGACUUGGCCUAAAGGUCUAGAUACCAGGCCAUAAACUCCAAAAAAAAAAAAAUAAGCUAACAUCAACAGACAACGGUAGUUUAAAUUCUUGUCAAUUGUAUUUUUUCUUGUAACUACGAAUAUUUUGAAAUAUAUCAUCACUAAAAUGGAUAAAAGACGCAUGAGUCUGCCUAGAACAAAUAAUGAGAGGAGCUUCUCAGUAAUGUCUGCUCCGUUAUCGGCAUCCGCACAAAAAGUGAAAACACCUCUACGCCCCAUAUCCAGAUCGACAACAUUUAUGAAAUGUGAUUCGGCGUCGAAGUCUGAAACCAGUGUCUCCAAAGCUAGUACUGCAGUAGAAACGCUUAAACAACAGGUUGUUUACGGUCGGGCGUCAAGUAAGUCUGAAACCAGUGUCUCCAACGCUAAUACUCCAGUAGAAACUCUUAAAGGACAGGUUCUUUACAGUCGGUUUCUAAGAACUAUGCUAGAAGAUUGUUUGAUUGACGAUAAGAUUAAGCGGGAAGAGAAUGAGAUGGAUAUUCAGAUGGCUCAAUUGUCUGGCAGAUUUAUGGAGACUAUACAGCAGAUGGAGAAAACUAAUCGUCGUUUAAAGGAUAUAUCAUUUGUGGUGGAGCAACAGAGGCUAUUGGAUCUUAAGAAUCAAGAUUGUACAAAAUUUCAUGAACUAACUGACCAAUCCAAUGUACAGAGUGUAAUGAAGAACCUAGCUACCACAGAGCAAGCUUGCUUAGAUAGAUUAGAAACAAAAAAUGUAGACUUUGGUUAUAAUAAGGAAUCGGGACACAAGCAGCUCCUGGAUGCAGUUAAUGAUGCGAUAGAUGGAUUGGAACAGAUAAAAAUACGCUCAAACCUGGACAUGGACAAGUGUAAAGAAUUUGAGAAGACACAAAAGUGUUUGGAUGAUCUAGAGAAAGAUAGAUCAGAUUUAUCAAUGUUGAAAGACGAGUUUGAUGAAAAAUUUCCAGAAUAUUGUCACAAAGUAAUAAUAGAGGUGUCUGAUAAAAUUGAUGAGAUGAAGGAUGAUGAUUUUGAUUUGUAGCCUCAAAAUUGUCUACAUCAAACACACAUAAAACUGCAGACUGGAUUUGGUGUUAAAAAUACAAACUUUAUGGACUGCAACAAAUAUGCUAAGAUGGAUGCUUUAUCUCAGUGAGUGAGUCAGAAAUCAAGGUGUGCCGGAGAAUCAGCCUUUUUUUAAUAUCUGCAAGCAGUCCACAAUUUAUUAUUUUAUUUAAAAAUUAUCGCUAUGUAGGUAAUAUAACCUUAGUUUCUUUGAUAACAAUGAAAUAGAUAUUGAAUUUCAUAUACUUUUUUUUUAUCAUCAAUAAACAAAGUGGUUAAUGAAUUUGUAUCAAUAAUAUAUUAAUAUAAUAUUGACACACUUUUUACACAAAUUAUCUUGCCCCAAGCAUAUAUAGCCUGUGUUAUGGGUUACAAGAUAAUGAUAUAUUUAAUACAAUAUACUUACUUAAACAUACAUAAAUACAUUUAAACAUCCAUGAAUCGGAAACAAACAAAAUAAAUAAUAAUUAAAGGAUUAUUAAUAUA